AUUGAACGCUGGCGGCAGGCCUAACACAUGCAAGUCGAACGAGUGGCGGACGGGUGAGUAAUGUCUGGGAAACUGUCUGAUGGAGGGGGAUCACUACUGGAAACGGUAGCUAAUACCGCAUACCAUCAGAUGUGCCUAGAUGGGAUUAGCUAGUAGGUGGGGUAACGGCACACCUAGGCGACGAUCCCUAGCUGGUCUGAGAGGAUGACCAGCCACACUGGAAGGGAAGCACGGUCCAGACUCCUACGUGAGGCAGCAGUGGGGAAUAUUGGACAAUGGACGCAAGCCUGAUGCAGCCAUGCCGCGUGGAUGAAGAAGGCCGUCGGGUUGUAAAGUACUUUCAGCGGGGAGGCGUUACCCGCAGAAGAAGCACCGGCUAACUCCGUGCCAGCAGCCGCGGUAAUAC
rnacentral:rRNA from 1 species